UAGGCCUACUUGGCUAGUGCAUUAGCCUUAGCCAUAGUGUAGUCAAAUCUUGACAACUAGUCUUCUAGAUCUAAGCUUCUAGAAUAAUUAGAUCUAGAUCCAGUUUAGAUUUAGAAUAUAAAAGUAUUUUACUAGCUAAAAUACUAAAUUUACUGAUCUAAAUUCUAGAUAGAUAUACAAUAUAUUGAUCCAGUUUAGAUUUGGAAUAUAAAAAUAUUUACUAGCUAAAAUUCUAAAUCUACUGAUCUAUACUUAAUAUUUUAGAUAUUAUAUGACAUCUACAAAAAUUAUUAUUAAGAUAUAAUUAUAGAAUCUAGACUAGUUAUUUAUGUACAUAAAAUAUAUAAAUAAAAGAUAAAAUUUAUGCAGGCCUAGAUCCCAUAAAUUUAUAAUUGAUCCAGAUCUAUCAGUAAAAGUUACCUUCGAUGGGAAGUUUUACCCAAUCUAAUCUAUACAAGACAAUUUAUAAUCCAUGCCUCGCCUACACCCAUACAUUAAAUAAUAGUUCCCAUUCCAUGCCAUGCCCAGACCCAUGAGUUCAUGAAAUAAUAAAUGAUGUGGUGUCAAGUUGGAUCUAUCCCCUGAAAUUCAGCACUUUAAUAUAAAACUCUCAUAUCUAGUUAAUUAUUUGCUAUGACACUCUGAUCAACUUGGACUUGUGUGAUACAUAUAUGUUUCUUAUCAGAUUUAAUGAAUGAAGUUUUGGUGCAUUUUAAGGCUACAAAAGUAUCAUCAGGUGCAUUCUAACCAUUGGUAUUUUUCCUGGCAACAUUUCUAUUCUAGUCUGUGAUAAAUUAUAAAUUUAAAAAAAUGUUUGUAAUGUUUCAGUUAUUAACAAGUAGAACCAUGCCAACCAGUUCUGAUGAUGUACCAGAAUGGCUCAAGGAUCAUACUUAUACUAUUUCUACUCUCUGGGCAGACAUUAAUAAUAUUGGCAUCCAUUCAAUAUUUAUUUUAUGUUUGGAAAUGCAAGAAAAAGGCAUGCAUUCCUGUCAAGUCAAUGAUUGGUUGCACCUCUUAAAGAUAACUUUCUGUUAUGAGAAAAGAUGAGAUUCUUGGACUCCUGCAUAGCACCACCAGAAAGGAAAAUCCCAUCAUGUUGCAAAAUAAAAGUCUUGGACCAAUUUUAAUUUAAGAUAUAUAUAUUAUACUGUAAGCUCUAUACAUAUUUAUGUAUAUCCUGUCAUUCAGCCUACAGGUUUGGAUUUAGUAUUUCUUUAAAUCUGUUUGAUAUUGUACUUGAAAACUAUUAAUCUGAGCCCCAUUAAAACAAUAGGGAGUGCAGUGAACGAGUGGUAAAGCACUUGGCUUCUGAACUGAGGGUUCCUGGGUUCAAUUAAGACUGGGAUAUACAAUUUCAGAAUUCAAAAGGCUAGGGAUACAUGGCAAUAGUAAGGAAUAAGUAAAGGCAGUUUGGGGAUCCAUGGCUGAAUGGUUAAGUCAUGGGUUUGAAUCUCUGUGAAGACUCGGAUUAAAAUUUUUUAGAUUUUUGGGUGCCCCUGAGUCCACCUAACUCUAAUGGGUAGCUGACUUUUGUUUUGGAAAGUAAAGAUGGUUGGUUGUUGUGCUGGCCACAUGAUGCACUGGCCAAAGAAUCAAAUGACCUUAACAUCAUCUGCCCUAUAGAUUGUGACGUCUGAAAUGGGAUAUUUUUUCAAAAGGUGGUUGGUUGUUGUGCUGGGUACAUGACACCCUCGCUAACCAUGGGGCACAGAAACUGAUAAACUUUAUAUCAUCUGCCCCAUAGAUUGCAAGAUAUGUAAGGGAAAUUUUACUUUUUUAAAAUUAAAAUAAGAAUCUAUCAAAAGUAAACAUAAAAUAUGGUGCAUUCUCCUUAAAACUAAAACCUAGUGCGAAGGUUUAAAAUGUUGGCAAAAAAAAGCAACAUCAUAUAUUCUUAAUUCCCUUUGCAAAACUUACUGAGAAGAACAUGCAUGUUGUUCCCUCAUAAGUUUCUUGACAGAGGAAAUCUUGUUUAUAUUAGAUUUGAAUUAAGCAAAUUAAGAAAAAAAUUAUAAUCAUUAUUUCAAAUGGUUGUAUCUAAACCUUAUGAAUUAUUUUUCUGUUAUAAGUAUAUUGAGAUUAAUGGAUAAUCAUGAAAUUGUUAAAUAAUUGCUGCUAUCAUUCCAUUGACUAAAGAACCAUAAUUUUUUUUUUUUUUAAAUUAAUUUCAAAAUGAUUUUUUUCAAGCAUAGAGUUCAUAUAGAUCUUGAGUGAAUUUUUUUUUUAUUUGACUAAUGCUUCAAUUUUAUUGUAUCAUAUUAGUUGUUAAUUUUUAUUACCCAGAAUAUUUAAAAAAUGAGUACACUAUUUUCAUGUAAUAAUGUAACUUGGUAUUCACACAAUGCUCAAAAUACACCAUAAUCUUUAGGCCAUACAGAUUUGUAUAAAUUAACUUGUUUAAAUACAUUGUAAAUGUAUAUUGUUUGGAUAAGAAUAAAGUUUUUUCUGUAGACAAUUAUUGUUCAAGAUUUGUUGAUGCUCCUGCUUAAUCAAUUAUAUAUACAGGUCAUUAGUUUUAACACGUCUGAUAAUAAAUGACAGUACAAGUUAGUGAAUGAAAAUUUGUCAUUAUUUCAGCUGCUUUAGUCCUACAUCAAUGUGAGGUACCAGUACUUUGAUUGUGUCAUAUAACAAUUUAAAGCAACAUUUUGAAAUGAAUAGUCUGUAGAAUUGACAGUAAAUACAUUUAAGUGAUGGGCUGUGAUCUGCUUGAAUUGGGAGCUGAUCAUGUAUUGAAUUUGUGUUUUUGAUCUUUACUUCAAGUAAAUGUUAAUGAGCAAUUAAUUUUUAAUGAAUAAAUAAUUUAAAAAUAAAUACAAAAGAACCAUAAACAUCUACUUUAGUUUAAUAAUUUUUUUUCAUCAGAACAGAAUUUCCAACUUUGCAUUCUUAAAAUAAAAUAUAAUUUAUUUAGAGUAGAGUCAGAACACAAAAUCAUAGUUUUAAAAUAUUAAGUAAAUUAAGCUAAGCUGUGAUCUCUUAUAAACAUUUGUAUAUAGACUAUA